rnacentral:rRNA from 1 species
CCUACGGGUGGCAGCAGUGGGGAAUAUUGCACAAUGGGGGAAACCCUGAUGCAGCGACGCCGCGUGAAGGAAGAAGUAUUUCGGUAUGUAAACUUCUAUCAGCAGGGAAGAAAAUGACGGUACCUGACUAAGAAGCCCCGGCUAACUACGUGCCAGCAGCCGCGGUAAUACGUAGGGGGCAAGCGUUAUCCGGAUUUACUGGGUGUAAAGGGAGCGUAGGCGGUGCAGCAAGUCAGAAGUGAAAGCCCGGGGCUCAACUCCGGGACUGCUUUUGAAACUGUUGAACUAGAGUGCAGGAGAGGUAAGUGGAAUUCCUAGUGUAGCGGUGAAAUGCGUAGAUAUUAGGAGGAACACCAGUGGCGAAGGCGGCUUACUGGACUGUAAAUGACGCUGAGGCUCGAAAGCGUGGGGAGCAAACAGGAUUAGAUACCCGGGUAGUC